rnacentral:rRNA from 1 species
UACGUAGGGUCCGAGCGUUGUCCGGAAUUACUGGGCGUAAAGGGCUCGUAGGUGGCCAACUAAGUCAGACGUGAAAUCCCUCGGCUUAACCGGGGAACUGCGUCUGAUACUGGAUGGCUUGAGUUCGGGGAGAGGGAUGCGGAAUUCCAGGUGUAGCGGUGAAAUGCGUAGAUAUCUGGAGGAACACCGGUGGCGAAGGCGGGUCUCUGGGCCGGAUACUGACGCUGAGGAGCGAAAGCGUGGGGAGCGA